GGGGAAUUUUCCGCAAUGGGCGAAAGCCUGACGGAGCAAUACCGCGUGAGGGAGGAAGGCUCUUGGGUUGUAAACCUCUUUUCUCAAGGAAGAAAAAAAUGACGGUACUUGAGGAAUAAGCAUCGGCUAACUCCGUGCCAGCAGCCGCGGUAAUACGGAGGAUGCAAGCGUUAUCCGGAAUGAUUGGGCGUAAAGCGUCCGCAGGUGGCUAUGUAAGUCUGCUGUUAAAGAGUGAGGCUUAACCUCAUAAAAGCAGUGGAAACUACAUGGCUAGAGUGCGUUCGGGGCAGAGGGAAUUCCUGGUGUAGCGGUGAAAUGCGUAGAGAUCAGGAAGAACACCGGUGGCGAAAGCGCUCUGCUAGGCCGCAACUGACACUGAGGGACGAAAGCUAGGGGAGCGAAUGGGAUUAGAUACCCCAGUAGUCCUAGCCGUAAACGAUGGAUACUAGGCGUGGCUUGUAUCGACCCGAGCCGUGCCGUAGCUAACGCGUUAAGUAUCCCGCCUGGGGAGUACGCAGGCAACUGUGAAACUCAAAGGAAUUGACGGGGGCCCGCACAAGCGGUGGAGUAUGUGGUUUAAUUCGAUGCAACGCGAAGAACCUUACCAGGACUUGACAUGUCGCGAAUUUCUGUGAAAGCAGAAAGUGCCUUCGGGAGCGCGAACACAGGUGGUGCAUGGCUGUCGUCAGCUCGUGUCGUGAGAUGUUGGGUUAAGUCCCGCAACGAGCGCAACCCUCGUUUUUAGUUGCCAGCAUUAAGUUGGGCACUCUAGAGAGACUGCCGGUGACAAACCGGAGGAAGGUGGGGAUGACGUCAAGUCAGCAUGCCCCUUACGUUCUGGGCUACACACGCACUACAAUGCUACGGACAAAGGGCAGCAAGCAUGCGAAUGCAAGCUAAUCUCAUAAACCGUGGCUCAGUUCAGAUCGCAGGCUGCAACUCGCCUGCGUGAAGGAGGAAUCGCUAGUAAUUGCAGGUCAGCAUACUGCAGUGAAUUCGUUCCCAGGCCUUGUACACACCGCCCGUCACACCAUGGAAGCUGGUAGUGCCCGAAGUCAUUACCCCAACCGCUUGCGGAGGGGGAUGCCUAAGGCAGGACUGGUGACUGGGGUGAAGUCGUAACAAGGUAGCCGUACCGGAAGGUGUGGCUGGAUCACCUCCU
rnacentral:rRNA from 1 species